UUGCUGUGAUGACUCUCUUAGGACACCUUUGGAGCCAACACCUAUGAAAAAAAAGUUGUUUCUGAGCAAC